rnacentral:ncRNA from 1 species
CAGAUAGAGGUCGCGUCUUUUAUCAGUAACCGCCCUGAUGUCAAGGAGCAGGAGAGGGACGGCAAAAGGAAAAGACGCCGAAAGAAAAUGCUACCUGAAGGUAUUUUCUUGGGCAUACAGUUAAGAGCUGUAUGACUGUCAUCAAUUAGGAUGGGGAGCUAUCGGA